rnacentral:rRNA from 1 species
UAUGGGGGGAGCAAGCGUUGUUCGGAUUUACUGGGCGUAAAGGGCGCGUAGGCGGCCUCUGCAAGUCGACUGUGAAAUCUCCGGGCUUAACCCGGAACGGUCAGCCGAUACUGCAGGGCUAGAGUGCAGAAGGGGCAACCGGAAUUCUCGGUGUAGCGGUGAAAUGCGUAGAUAUCGAGAGGAACACCUGCGGCGAAGGCGGGUUGCUGGGCUGACACUGACGCUGAGGCGCGAAAGCUAGGGGAGCAAACGGG